rnacentral:rRNA from 1 species
UACGUAGGGGGCUAGCGUUGCUCGGAAUCACUGGGCGUAAAGGGUGCGUAGGCGGGUCUUUAAGUCAGGGGUGAAAUCCUGGAGCUCAACUCCAGAACUGCCUUUGAUACUGAGGAUCUUGAGUUCGGGAGAGGUGAGUGGAACUGCGAGUGUAGAGGUGAAAUUCGUAGAUAUUCGCAAGAACACCAGUGGCGAAGGCGGCUCACUGGCCCGAUACUGACGCUGAGGCACGAAAGCGUGGGGAGCAAACAGGAUUAGAUACCCCAGUAGUCC